UUCUUCGUUACCUACAUCCAUCCUCCCAAUCUUCAACCUCUCAUUUUCCUUCAUUUUUUUUAAAUGAAUCGAACUCAAAAGCUUGGCAAAGCUCCUUAAACCCAUUUUUAAAUCUUGCAUGUCUCAAUUUGUAACUACUAAUCGGUUUCAAUCAAAGCAGCACAGGAUACUAACCAACAAAUGAAGAAGAGUCAAAGUGGCAAUUCAGGCAAAAGGGGAGUUCAACGACCAAUUUAAUCGGAACAUUGUCUUCUCCUUUACCACCAACGGCAUGGAAUAACAGGUAAAGGAGAACAAUCAGGACGCUGAUUGGGGUUUGGCCAGACCACCUUUACCAAUCAGGACUCAAUUAUCUUAGUGACCCACAUUAAGAUAUUGGGCGACAUUUCCUUACUCCAAAGGAAAAGAUUUGAGCUGGAGGAACAUGAGACAUGAAAUCAGCAUUAGAAGAUCAGUUCCAAACUCGUGGAAUUAGAAUUUAAUAUUUUGUUUUAUGAUGUAAUCAGGCAAUGGUAGUUGUUUUCAAGAUGUAAUAUUUUAUGAAUCUACUAAACAAGUUGUAAACUAUAUUUAUGAAUGUAGU